rnacentral:rRNA from 1 species
GCGAGCGUUGUCCGGAAUCACUGGGCGUAGAGGGCGCGUAGGUGGCGCUCCAAGUCUGUGGUGAAAGCUCGAUGCUCAACAUCGAGUCGGCCAUAGAGACUGGAGGGCUCGAGCACUGUAGGGGCAGAUGGAAUUCCGGGUGUAGCGGUGGAAUGCGUAGAGAUCCGGAAGAACACCGGUGGCGAAGGCGGUCUGCUGGGCAGUUGCUGACACUGAGGCGCGACAGCGUGGGGAGCAAACAGG